rnacentral:rRNA from 1 species
GGGGGGGGGUGGGGGGGGGGGGGGGGGGGGGAGGGCGGGCGGGGGAGCGGGAGCUUGCUGGGGGGGAUCAGUGGCGAGCGGGUGGGUAGCACGUGAGCGACCUGCCCCUGACUCUGGGAUAAGCGCUGGAAACGGCGUCUAAUACUGGAUACGAGAAGGGUCCGCAUGGGCACUUUCUGGACAGUUGUUCGGUUGGGGAUGGGCUCGCGGCCUAUCAGCUUGUUGGUGAGGUAAUGGCUCACCAAGGCGACGACGGGUAGCCGGCCUGAGAGGGCGACCGGCCACACUGGGACUGAGACACGGCCCAGACUCCUACGGGAGGCAGCAGUGGGGAAUAUUGCACAAUGGGCGAAAGCCUGAUGCAGCGACGCCGCGUGAGGGAUGACGGCCUUCGGGUUGUAAACCUCUUUCAGCAGGGAAGAAGCGAAAGUGACGGUACCUGCAGAAGAAGCACCGGCUAACUACGUG